rnacentral:rRNA from 1 species
AGUGAACGCUGGCGGUAGGCCUAACACAUGCAAGUCGAACGGCAGCACAGUAAGAGCUUGCUCUUACGGGUGGCGAGUGGCGGACGGGUGAGGAAUACAUCGGAAUCUACUUUUUCGUGGGGGAUAACGUAGGGAAAAUUACGCUAAUACCGCAUACGACCUACGGGUGAAAGCAGGGGAUCUUCGGACCUUGCGCGAUUGAAUGAGCCGAUGUCGGAUUAGCUAGUUGGCGGGGUAAAGGCCCACCAAGGCGACGAUCCGUAGCUGGUCUGAGAGGAUGAUCAGCCACACUGGAACUGAGACACGGUCCAGACUCCUACGGGAGGCAGCAGUGGGGAAUACUGGACAAUGGGCGCAAGCCUGAUCCAGCCAUACCGCGUGGGUGAAGAAGGCCUUCGGGUUGUAAAGCCCUUUUGUUGGGAAAGAAAAGCAGCAGGUUAAUACCCCGCUGUUCUGACGGUACCCAAAGAAUAAGCACCGGCUAACUUCGUG